GACGAACGCUGGCGGCGUGCUUAACACAUGCAAGUGGAGCGACGAACCAGGGCUUGCCCUGGGGCAGAGCCGCGAACGGGUGAGUAACACGUGGGUAACCUACCCCGAUGACCGGGACAACCCGAGGAAACUCGGGCUAAUACCGGAUGUUGUCGUUUUCUCUAAGGAAACCGACUAAAGAUAGCUUCGGCCUUCGCAUCGGGACGGGCCCGCGGCCCAUUAGCUUGUUGGUGGGGUAACUGCCUACCAAGGCGACGAUGGGUAGCUGGUCUGGGAGGACGAUCAGCCACACUGGGACUGAGACACGGACCAGACUCCUACGGGAGGCAGCAGUGGGGAAUCUUGCGCAAGGGGCGAAAGCCUGACGCAGCAACGCCGCGUGGGGGAAGAAGGCCCUCGGGUUGUAAACCGCUUUCAGUUGGGACGAAGCUCCGCCGGUGAAUAGCCGGCCGGAGUGACGGUACCUUCAGAAGAAGCCCCGGCUAACUACGUGCCAGCAGCCGCGGUAAGAC
rnacentral:rRNA from 1 species